AAUUUUGUUUCGUGUAUUUGUAUGAUGUUUAAUUUGUAACAUUUCCCUACAGCCAGCGUCUACGUGGUGCGCAAGAUCCGCGCUGCCCUCAAAGAGGGAGAGCAAGCAGAACAACCUGUGCUCACACCAUGUAGUCUGGCUAAAGGUAAAAAGGAGCGCUAUGCAUCAGACGCAGCAUUAAUGGCCGCUCCAGAGCCUGAGGGUGCUGCAGGGUCAUCUGCAUCUACAGAGACAGCUAUGGAGAAAUGUGGUUCCUGAGGUUAAAGGUCACGCAGAAGCAAUUCUGGGCACAAUGGAGGCUGAAAAAACUGCAUUGCUGGACGCCAGCAUGUGUUGUGUUUUGGAUGCUAGUGUUUCAAAAAGGCCAGCUAAGCUGGUCUUUUAAGUAGAGGUUUUAAAAAUGGGAAGGCAGAUUGUAAUAAAGAUCUGACAUCAGUCCAGUUUUGCUCUGCGUGACGUUUUGUUCUUAGGUGCCAACACUUGCUGCUCCUCUCUCUUUCUCUUUUUCUGUUUCCCAUCAGCUGUAGUUUGUGAAGGUCUGUUCAUCAACCUCUGACUCAGGGGCGGUUCAGAUCUGAUGUUUACCUGCAGCUUUUGUAUUUAUAACUGACUGUACACUGAUUGAAGACAUAUCGCUGUUAGUAACAAUAACAUCUGACGCUCUUUAUAAGAUUAUGUAAUUUUUGUAAUGAUAAAAACCACUAAUAAAAUGGUCCAGUCAUUGUU